CAGGCCUUGACAUCCAAUGAACUUUCCAGAGAUGGAUUGGUGCCUUCGGGAACAUUGAGACAGGUGCUGCAUGGCUGUCGUCAGCUCGCGUCGUGAGAUGUUGGGUUAAGUCCCGUAACGAGCGCAACCCUUGUCCUUAGUUACCAGCACGUAAUGGUGGGCACUCUAAGGAGACUGCCAGUGACAAACCGGAGGAAGGUGGGGAUGACGUCAAGUCAUCAUGGCCCUUACGGCCUGGGCUACACACGUGCUACAAUGGUCGGUACAAAGGGUUGCCAA
rnacentral:rRNA from 1 species